UAUAACCAUGCCCUGACCAAAAUAAAUGUUAGCGUAGGGGAAAAAAACAAAACAGAACAGCUCUGCUCUGUCUCUAUAAAAAGCUUUCUCACUUUCUCGUUCUCAUUCAGACACUUUUUCAUUCAGACACUCAUUCAGACACUUUUGUCACCUCACUUACUCUCUCUGUCUCUCCCCCCUCUCCCUCUCUCAUAUUUCUCUUUUUUCUAUAAACAUAUUUCAGAAAUGGAGUUAUUGUCUCCCAACAAUUCCAGGAGAACCAAACAAUGGCUUCCUCCGAGAAGAGGACAGGUCAAGAUCAUGAUCGUCCGCAAACUCCUCAAAUCGACGGCCUCGAUCGUUUCACUGUGGAAGAGGCGAGAUUGUAAAUAACUGUGUACAUACUUUUUGUUGUUGUUUUAAUGUUAAUUAUGUACAUACUUUGUAAGAUGUAAUCUCAUGUAUCACGUAUGAAAAAAAAAGUUUUUGUUAGAAGAUAUUUUUUGCUUAUUAAUCUCUAUAUUAUGUAGACAAAUUUUCUUUUCUUCCUUGUAAAUAUUUACAAGUUGUUCCAUAUAUUACAUGCCAUAACUUAAAAAUGAUACUAACGGGUCUUGGACCAAAACUGAUAUCUGUUGGGACAUGCAUAAAGCCUAACAUAACAAUUAACAAGUGUCAUAAAUUUUGGAUUCACUUGUAGCGAUGAUACAACGAAAGUAAAACUACUUAUUACAUUUGUCAAAUGAUACUAUAUAGGUAGCUCAUAACUAUGUAUAGAUCUCUAAAAUUCAUCUAAACCCGAAUUCUGCCGUGUGGAAUUAACAAAAAAAAAAAAAAGAAGAGUAAAUCAUUUGAACAAUUACGUGUGUUACAUUCCUGUUAAUCAUAUUUAUAUAUGUAUAGGUUAAAGCUUGCUUAUCUACUAUGGAACAAAGAGGAUCUAUAAUAACCCUUCAGCAAGUCAGCGACAAAGACUGUAGUAGCGCGUUACGAUAGUGAUAACGUUCACACGUGUCUCCAUUGCCACAUCUACUCAGACACCAACCAAAAAAACCUUGUAGAUCACACAUGUUACUGAAUUAAUUACGUUAUCUCUAAUAAGAAUUACCAAAGUAACCUUACGUAGCUUGCUCUGCAAGUGAAAGAAUUGGUCUUCAAAAGACUUGGUCUGUGACUUUGUGAGUGUUGUGUGUCUCAAAGCCUUAUUUAAUAACCUCUCUCUCAACUUUAUGUUACUCGCAUUUAAAUUUGUUUCUCUGCUUCACUCUUUUGAUUUCUUUCUACUUCUUUUUUUCACACAGAUCUUAAGAUACUACAACUGCGACCAUGGAGCUUCCAUCUCCUUACAGCUCAAGAAAGGAGGAAUCAACUGUUCCUCCGAAGAGAGGCCGAGUCAAGAUCAUGAUCUUUCGUGAUCUAGUCAGAUCGGAAACCUCGAUGGCACCGACUCCGAGGAGAGGCCGAAUCAAGAAAAUGAUCGCGGGUGAUCUAGUCGGAUCAGGGAAACAGAACAACUACGACGGAGACGGUAAGAGAGGAGGCUAGUUAAGCAGACUCUCCGACUACAUACACUUUAUCUCCAUGCCAGCUUCCAGACAAUCCCUUUCUCUGAGAAGAUGAUCGGAUUUUCAUAUUCAUUUGAAAAUCUUGUAUGAAAUGUAAUAUAGUUGUUGGCUUUGGCUUCUUCUUUCGAAUAUGUUAUACAAAAAGUUUAUUAUUUUUGUUGGGGUAAAUUAAAGAUUUAAAGGUAAGUUACUCUGUUUCAUACAAAGUUUGGGCCUCUGGGCUAAUAUUUUGGUAUCUAUGUAAAAAUGUAAAUAUUAUGUUUCUUUAGAAGUUUAUUUUUGUAUCUUUGUAGUAAAUUGUAUCUUUGUGAAAAUGUAAAUCUACUUAACAUUUUGAUGAAGUCAACAAAAAAAAUCUGAUUUUAACUGAGGGAUGAAAUUGUAGUUACUCCAAAUUUGAGGAUAAAUGUCGUAAUAAAUAAACAUAGAUGGCUAAAUCUGUAAUUAACCUUUUUAGAAAGAGGGUUUAUUGUAUAAUUUUUUCUCCCAAAUCUUUUUUUUUUCCGCCGCCGUGAAAAAAUGAAUCAUCUUCUAAUCUUAGCGAGAAACUCGCUGCGGCGGCGGAAUUUUAAUCUCCGACCACCGUCUCGUUCCUUCAGUAGCACCAUCUCACCGGAAUCGAAUCGGUGAGCUCUCCUCUCCCGCUUCUGCUUUCCUUCCUUUUCCUCAUUUAUCGCCUCUCUUCCUGAUUCUGACCCCAAACAAAAAAACAAAACACAGCUCGUCUUUUGGCAUAGCAUUCGAUAUCGAUGGAGUUAUUCUUCUUGGUUCCUCUCCCGUUGGUGGCUCUCCUAGCGCUCUCCGACGUCUCUACGAUGAUUCCGGUAUGCAAUCAUUGAUUUCUAGAACCUGCUUAAUUAGGUUGUCAACAAUGUACAUUGUUGUAGAUUGACUCUAGGCCAAGUACUGGUUUAGGUUUAAUUUGUAAUCUUUCCAGUGUAUGAUGAGUUUUGAGGUUGCUUUUGCAGGUGCUUUGAAGAUACCUUUCUUAUUCUUGACUAAUGGUGAGUCUUUGUUAUGAGUCUUAAAAUAGGUCAAAUGAGUGAAUUAUAUAGUUAACAUCACUUUUUGUCAUUGGUUAUGGCAGGAGGUGGCUUGCCUGAAUCUAAACGGGCUUCUGAGAUGAGUCAUUUAUUAGGUGUUCAAGUUUCUCCAUUGCAGGUUGAAACCUUGUCACAUCAUUUCCUUUGUAUUUUGUUUCUGUAGAGUGUGGAUGUUACAGUAGUCGCCAAAGUUAAGUUUUAGUAACUGUAACUCUUUUGAUGUAAUCUCUUUGACAUUUUGUUCAUGUUUCAGGUGAUACAAGCACAUUCACCCUUUCGGAAGCUAGUAAAUAGGUAAGUUAUAAAAUCACAUAGUGCACAAGAAAGACCUUGCAAACAAUUUUAUAAGAUAUUCUAUUCCUUGGUUUGGUCAGAAAGAUGUUUAGUGAUUUGCUUGGACCAGGUUUGAAAAUGAGCUUGUUGUUGCAGCUGGAAAAGGGGAACCUGCCGCGGUGAUGUCUAAUUAUGGUUUCAAGUAAGCUUAGGGCUCUUUUCUUGAAUUUUCUGAUUUUCGUUAGUUUCUGCUUCAAACUUCUGUUCAGGUGAUUUAUACAUGUACAUUUAUUUUUCAGAAACGUCAUUUCAAUGGACGAAUAUGCCUCUUACUUUGACAACAUUGAUCCCUUGGCGCCAUAUAAGAAAUUGAUGUUCAGGCAGGAUGGUCACAAGGAGCUUAGAUCAAGAGAAGAUGUUCUAUCCCAAAGAGUUCAGGCAGCAUUUAUAGUUAGUGAUCCAGUUGAUUGGAGCCGAGACAUCCAGGUUUCUCCUGCUUCACAUAUCUUUAUUUUCAGAUGUGAUACUUAUCUGAUAAAAUCCUUUAAGCACACAUGACACAUCGUAAUAAAUAAGGCAAAGUGGACUUUUGUAUUUCUAUAUCACUGGCUUCACGAUUAUGUGGAAAAAAAAACAAAAGAAAACACAUUUUAAAUGGUCUUUGGCUGUAGAUCCUCAUAGUUUUUGUUGGGGGCAGCAGAGCUUGGUUAACAUUUUUUGCUACUAACUCACGGUGAAUGAAUACUGAUUGAUACUUUUGGUCAGGUUCUUUGUGACAUUUUACGAACUGGAGGACUUCCUGGGAAAGAAAUUGGACCUCAACCUCAUUUGUACAUUGCCAAUGACGAUUUAGACUACCAGGUUCUGGUGAAUCCGUUGUUAUUUCUCCAUUCUUUUGAUUUACUUUAUGGUAUACUGAUGCAUUGUCAACUAAAUUCAGACUGAGUUUCCUACUGAACGUCUUGGCAUGGGAGCUUUUAGAAUCGCGUUAGAAUCAAUCUUCAACAGGUAAUAACCAAAUUCAAAGCACACACAUUCCAUAUGUUCACAUUUUUUCCUCAUUUGUUCAAUUCAGUUUUGCAUGAUUGAGUUUGAAUACAUACUUGCAGAAUUCAUGAAAAACCUCUAGAGUACACAUCAUUUGGCAAACCAAAUCCAUUUGUGUUCAAAAACGCAGAAGAUGUUCUGAAAGAAAUCGCUACAUCCCCUUAUUCUUCAAACCAAGGAAGUCACCACUUCAAGACACUAUAUAUGAUCGGGGACAACCCUAAAAUCGACAUCAGAGGCGCACGACAGGUUUCGUACUCUUUCUCUCAGACUAGAGUUGGUCAUCUCGCCAUAAAACAUUCCUCUAAUCUUACCUUAAACCAUUAGUAGUCUAUUAAAAGUAAAUCUGUGUGACAGGCUGGGACUCCUUGGUUUUCAAUAUUAACGAGAACCGGAGUUUUCAAAGGAAAAGAUAACCAUUCCGAGUUUCCAGCUGAUCUGGUAAGCAUCAACAUCAUCACUUAGCCUUUAAAAGAAGAUUAUUAUUAUUCCCGUGAGUUUAUGUUCAUGUGAAACUGUUUAACUUCUUCAGGUCGUUGACACCGUCGAGGAAGCAGUUGAUUUCAUUUUGACAAGAGAGUCCGCCAAGCAAAGCUUACUGUCAUGAGUUAUAUCACUCUCAUUUUUUCUGACCAGUCCAAGUAUUUCUUGACGAUUUGAGAUUUUAUUUAACAUAUUGGUUAUUUUCACGGCGAGGCCAAAGAAAUGGUGUAGUAACAAGUAAACAGAAAUUAGUGAACAUUAUUGAAUCUAGAAGUCACUAUUUUCUUUAUGAUUUGAGAUUUUAUUCAACUUUCAACAUAUUGUGUUCUCUUCACUAUUGUGAUUACAUUACUAAAUUGAUAAGUCAUUAUUUUGGUAUUAAAUCGUUUAAAUGCUCUUUCAAUUAAUGUUUGUACUAAGGAUCUAAGGCAAAUAGACAUUAUAAAAAACAUUAGUUUCACAACAUUUACUUUCAAAUGAUUUCUUACAUAAAAGUUGGUUACAAAUCCUCCAAUCCAAAUUUAAACCGAAUCCAGAAUAAACAGUAAAAUACAACAUUCAUGACACUUUCUCAUCACCCAAAACUGUAGUUACAUCAAUUCCCUUCUAAUAUUGAUUCCGGCUUCAUAUAAUAUGAAGUUAUAAACAUCUUAAAAAAAUGGUUGGUGAUUGGUUUUUAACUUUGCUGACCAAAAACCCUAAUGGUAAAACGAUCUACCUAAAUGAGGACGAAAAUCUUCAUAACUAACUCUAUCAUAAGGUGGUGGGGUUUGUUGUAGUGGUGGCGAACCAACUCUACGAGUGUAGUCUUGCCAUUGUCCCACAUGCAUUGGUUCUUCACCAUUAUAUCUACCAUCAUGCCUAUGGUGAACCAAAUGACCAUUUGUUCCAGCAUUCAAAGGGACUUGUCUAUAAGGAUCAUCUAAAGGGUUACUAUGAAUUCCAAACCGGGGGAUUUCACGAAACUCUUCUAACCCAUUAAAGUUUCCGACAUACCUGUUUCGUUUUCCUCUGGGAUCUUCGUAUCUCUCUUCCUCUCUCCAGUUACCCGUUUCUUCUAGAGCUCUGUAGCGGUUUCCCAAACAAAGUCUUUUGGUGUGAUGUUCUUCAGGAGGACCGCUGAAACCGUUUCUGUAGUUAUUGUGAAGUUGUUGUGAGUAAACGUUGCGCGACUGCACAGAAGGACGAGGGUCCAGAACUGCUUCUUGGGGAAACGACCUAUGUCUGAAAUGCGUUUCAGCGAUACUGCCACUGAAUGGCGGCAGAAGAGGACGAGGCUCCACAAGUACUUGUUGGUCAAACAACCUAUCUCUGAAAUGAGUUCCACCAAUACUUCCAUUGACUGGCCGCAGAGGAGGAAGAGGCUGCAACACAGCUUGUUGGCGAAACGACUCAUGUCUGAAAUGUGUGCCAGCGAUAUUGCCAUUAAGUGGCAGCACAGGAGGACGAGGCUCCACAACUGCUUGUUGCGCAAACACCUUCUGUUUGCGAUGUGUUCCAGCAAUUUUGCCAUUGAGUCGCGGCACAGGAGGAGAAGGCUGCACCACAGCUUGUUGGCCAGACACCUUGUGUAUUCCAGCGGUCUUUCCAUUAAGUGGCGCCACAGGAGGAAUCUGCACAACAGAUCCUUUGCCAAACAACCUAUGUCUGAGAUCUGUUCCAGCAACCUUGUCAUUGAGGAAUUCAAAGAUGUCUUCAACGGUUCUGUUUAUGGAGCUGUAUAUCUUUUUGGCUCCUGCACCAUUAACCCGUCUUGCGACAUUUUGAGAUAUGUUGGUAAAAUCCUCAACCUGUAAGACAAACGGAAAAAAAAAUGAUAUAAGACAAAAAAAGUAAGAAAGCAAAUGUAAUCUUACUGAAUAGAGUUUUUUAUAGCUUACACUAAUGGAUCCAACGCCAACUUUUUUCCACUUUUUAGAUAUCCAAAGACCAUUCAGCACACUGACGCAGAGCCCUUGUCUCCAAAGGAAUUCUACAGAUUGUAACUGCAAGACAGAAAUGCUAAUUCGUUAUACAAAAGCAUGUACUGCAGCUUGUUUUGUAAUCGGUGUUUGGGUUUAAAGGUAAAACGAUAUAGCACCUUAAUAAAAAAGGUUGCAAACAGUCUACCCAGAGAUUCCUGAUUACGCUGUCCCCAGUUUAAGAACUUUUGUGCCCUUUUCUCCACGUUAGGAGGAUCCAUUCCAUCUGGAAAAGAAAAGACUCAGUUAAUGUCAUUACGGAAAACAGGAAUAUGUUGCUAGCACGUUAAAAGAAGAGUAUUAAAAAUGUAAUCUGAGAUCUGACAAUCAUCAAGUGUUCUAUUAGUAUCACAAGCUUAAAAAAGCCUAAAGAGACUUUGUAUAUGUUGAAUCUGCCAGAAAACAAAUGACCGCCUCAAAAAGAACAAACCCACCAUAGUUCUCUUUCACUUAGUUUACUGUAUGGAUACUAAUAUUACCUUUCAAUAGCAUAGAGAAUGGAGGUAAAAUGGGAGGAUUUUGAGUCUGCGCAUAUGACAAAGGAGAAGCAAUUAGACUCGGAAGUAUUUAGUCAUUCAACAUUCAAAGUUCCUCAUACGCCUGGAUCUGAUCAGAUACUAUUCACAUGCAACUUAAGAUGAAGCAAUAAUAAACCAAACACUUUAUCCAACAGUUGAAAAAGAAUCAAAUUUAUUCCCAUUAAACAGCCAGAUAAACUACCUACGUGGGCAUAAGUCAAAAUUCUACCUAUAAGAAUCAACCAUCCCUUGUAAAUGUAACUGGAAUAAUAAGAGUACAGAGUCUAGUGAACAUCUAACACAAGUAACUAAGUUGAUACCUGUAAGUGAAGAGCGACUAGCAAUGUUAUAGAUACAGAAUUCAGGGUUCGGUGUAGCGCACUGUUAACUUCAUGAGCUUUGGCCCAAUGCUUAACCUGACAUAUGAGAAUAGUCACAUUAGUAAAUAUACUGACCACAACUACACAUACUUUAACUUUGAAUACUUCUUUCAUACGAAAACUAUGGUUAGCCAACAAGUCCCUAGCUUUAAAGUUACUUCACUAAAAUCUGUGAGACUCGAAGAUUCCACUUAAAUAGUAAAGAAAAAUUAUUCUGAAAAAUUAGUUAGUACUGGGGAAAGCUUUUGUUGAAUUGAAAAUCAGAAAAAAACUGAAGAGACUUGAAAGAAACUAAAGCAACAAACCAUAGGCAGUAGCAUAAAAAUCUAUAACCCUAAAAAGAAAUUUCUGUUGAAAAAACUCACAAGUCAUUAGUACUAGAAGGAUAACGAAAGCCAUUAGAAUAGAACUUAAAUUCUUACCAACAGACAAAGUUUUUGAAACCUGCCAUCAAUUUGAGAUAUGAUGCGAACGAUCUGUGAAUUUAAAAUGCCAUCUUUAUUUUCGACUGACAAAUCACACUCAACACCAGUCCCUUGAUCAGAGAAUUUGACAAUUGGCACUUUAGCAGAGAAGAUAGAUUCAACAUUCUUAACCUGCCCUUCUCCUACAAAAGAAGUAUAUAUGAAACUCAUCAUUUUAAGAAUGUCGUAUUCACGUGUCCCCGAUAUACUAAAAAGAGACUGUUGGGGUUUUUGGUAUAUAUGGAAAACAAUAAUGGAAUUGGCAUACAGCUUAACAGCAAGAAGAAUGGAACAAAUAUCUUACCCUGCAGAGAACGGAGCUUCUUAGCAAAUCUUUUAAGUAUCUCGAGCUUCUUUUCACGAGGAAUCUCAGAUGUUCCAUUACCAAAGUUAAUAGACACAUCUAAAUCACUCUGAGAUGAAUACAUAUCCAUCACAAAAGACCCAUACGCCUCAAGGACCGGGCUGCUCUCUUCAGACUUACCUAAUGAACACAUAAACUAAAUAAACCCUCUGCUAACUUUCGAUAUCACUAAGCUAAAUAAGAUAGAAAAAAAGACUACAUUACCAUAAAUAUCUAAAGCCAUAGUAUUAAGGUUUUUGACCAAUUCC
rnacentral:lncRNA from 1 species